GAUGAACGCUGGCGGCGUGCUUAACACAUGCAAGUCGAACGGUGAAGGCGGAGCUUGCUCUGCUGGAUCAGUGGCGAACGGGUGAGUAACACGUGAGCAAUCUGCCCCUGACUCUGGGAUAAGCGCUGGAAACGGCGUCUAAUACUGGAUACGAGCUGCGAAGGCAUCUUCAGCAGCUGGAAAGAACUUCGGUCAGGGAUGAGCUCGCGGCCUAUCAGCUUGUUGGUGAGGUAACGGCUCACCAAGGCGUCGACGGGUAGCCGGCCUGAGAGGGUGACCGGCCACACUGGGACUGAGACACGGCCCAGACUCCUACGGGAGGCAGCAGUGGGGAAUAUUGCACAAUGGGCGAAAGCCUGAUGCAGCAACGCCGCGUGAGGGAAGACGGCCUUCGGGUUGUAAACCUCUUUUAGCAGGGAAGAAGCGAAAGUGACGGUACCUGAAGAAAAAGCGCCGGCUAACUACGUG
rnacentral:rRNA from 1 species